rnacentral:rRNA from 1 species
CGCUGGCGGCGUGCCUAAUACAUGCAAGUCGAACGGUCUUUCUAUGGAAGCUUGCUUCCACUGAGAAGAUAGUGGCGAACGGGUGAGUAACACGUGGGUAACCUGCCCAUAAGAGGGGGAUAACAUCCGGAAACGGGUGCUAAUACCGCAUAGUUUUCUUGAUCGCAUGAUUGAGAAAGGAAAGACGGCCUUUGUGCUGUCGCUUAUGGAUGGACCCGCGGCGUAUUAGUUAGUUGGUGAGGUAACGGCUCACCAAGACGAUGAUACGUAGCCGACCUGAGAGGGUGAUCGGCCACAUUGGGACUGAGACACGGCCCAAACUCCUACGGGAGGCAGCAGUAGGGAAUCUUCCGCAAUGGACGAAAGUCUGACGGAGCAACGCCGCGUGAGUGAAAGAAGGUUUUCGGAUCGUAAAACUCUGUUGUCAGAGAAGAACAAGUCGGAGAGUAACUGCUCCGGCCUUGACGGUAUCUGACCAGAAAGCCACGGCUAACUACGUGCCAGCCGCCGC